rnacentral:rRNA from 1 species
AGCCAUCAUUUAAAGAAAGCGUAAUAGCUCACUGGUCGAGUCGGCCUGCGCGGAAGAUGUAACGGGGCUAAACCAUGCACCGAAGCUGCGGCAGCGAACGUAUCACCCAAGACAACUUUACGGAGUUGACGAUUGACGGAGCGAAGCGACGUCAAAGCGUUCAUUAAAGUCGAGUUGGCUUAGGGAUACGUUCGUUGGGUAGGGGAGCGUUCUGUAAGCCUGUGAAGGUGUGUCGUGAGGCAUGCUGGAGGUAUCAGAAGUGCGAAUGCUGACAUAAGUAACGAUAAAGCGGGUGAAAAGCCCGCUCGCCGGAAGACCAAGGGUUCCUGUCCAACGUUAAUCGGGGCAGGGUGAGUCGACCCCUAAGGCGAGGCCGAAAGGCGUAGUCGAUGGGAAACGGGUUAAUAUUCCCGUACUUGGUGUUACUGCGAAGGGGGGACGGAGAAGGCUAUGUUGGCCGGGCGACGGUUGUCCCGGUUUAAGCGUGUAGGUGUGUGUUCCAGGUAAAUCCGGUUCACUUUAACACUGAGGCGUGACGACGAGGCACUACGGUGCUGAAGCAACAAAUGCCCUGCUUCCAGGAAAAGCCUCUAAGCAUCAGGUAACACGAAAUCGUACCCCAAACCGACACAGGUGGUCAGGUAGAGAAUACCAAGGCGCUUGAGAGAACUCGGGUGAAGGAACUAGGCAAAAUGGUGCCGUAACUUCGGGAGAAGGCACGCUGACACGUAGGUGAAGUGAUUUACUCAUGGAGCUGAAGUCAGUCGAAGAUACCAGCUGGCUGCAACUGUUUAUUAAAAACACAGCACUGUGCAAACACGAAAGUGGACGUAUACGGUGUGACGCCUGCCCGGUGCCGGAAGGUUAAUUGAUGGGGUCAGCGCAAGCGAAGCUCCUGAUCGAAGCCCCGGUAAACGGCGGCCGUAACUAUAACGGUCCUAAGGUAGCGAAAUUCCUUGUCGGGUAAGUUCCGACCUGCACGAAUGGCGUAAUGAUGGCCAGGCUGUCUCCACCCGAGACUCAGUGAAAUUGAACUCGCUGUGAAGAUGCAGUGUACCCGCGGCAAGACGGAAAGACCCCGUGAACCUUUACUAUAGCUUGACACUGAACAUUGAGCCUUGAUGUGUAGGAUAGGUGGGAGGCUUUGAAGUGUGGACGCCAGUCUGCAUGGAGCCGACCUUGAAAUACCACCCUUUAAUGUUUGAUGUUCUAACGUGGACCCGUAAUCCGGGUUGCGGACAGUGUCUGGUGGGUAGUUUGACUGGGGCGGUCUCCUCCUAAAGAGUAACGGAGGAGCACGAAGGUUGGCUAAUCCUGGUCGGACAUCAGGAGGUUAGUGCAAUGGCAUAAGCCAGCUUGACUGCGAGCGUGACGGCGCGAGCAGGUGCGAAAGCAGGUCAUAGUGAUCCGGUGGUUCUGAAUGGAAGGGCCAUCGCUCAACGGAUAAAAGGUACUCCGGGGAUAACAGGCUGAUACCGCCCAAGAGUUCAUAUCGACGGCGGUGUUUGGCACCUCGAUGUCGGCUCAUCACAUCCUGGGGCUGAAGUAGGUCCCAAGGGUAUGGCUGUUCGCCAUUUAAAGUGGUACGCGAGCUGGGUUUAGAACGUCGUGAGACAGUUCGGUCCCUAUCUGCCGUGGGCGCUGGAGAACUGAGGGGGGCUGCUCCUAGUACGAGAGGACCGGAGUGGACGCAUCACUGGUGUUCGGGUUGUCAUGCCAAUGGCACUGCCCGGUAGCUAAAUGCGGAAGAGAUAAGUGCUGAAAGCAUCUAAGCACGAAACUUGCCCCGAGAUGAGUUCUCCCUGAGACUUAGAGUCUCCUGAAGGAACGUUGAAGACGACGACGUUGAUAGGCCGGGUGUGUAAGCGCAGCGAUGCGUUGAGCUAACCGGUACUAAUGAACCGUGAGGCUUAACCUU